CGAGCGUCAUUACACCCCUCAAGUUAAACCUUUUGGUUAGCUUGGUGUUGGGCCUUGCCGGAAGGCAUGCCUAAAAAUCAGCGAUGGUACGUUAAACCACGGACGCACAACUGUCGUUACGUAGGGGUCACGGCACCAGUUUAAAUGAUGAAUUUCUAAAUGUUGACCUCGGAUCAGGUAGGAAUACCCGCUGAACUUAA
rnacentral:misc_RNA from 1 species